GGGGGUGGGGGGCAAUGAACAGGUGCAUUAAGAUUGUCAAAAAGCAUCGGCGCUGAUAGCCUUUCCCAAUCCUACUUCACUUCCUAUCGGAUCUAAACUGUCCUAUCAUAAUAAAGGAACCAAAAAUAAAUCUUACAAAGAUUGCAUACAGAUUUGGAAUGGUGAUUUUAGAAAGGUCAACUAUUUCUUUAAAUCUUCAAAUGGUUCAAAGUACUGAUAGUCACAGAGCCUGAGACUUCCAUGAAAUCAGACCUCCGUCAUUCCAUUUUCCCCUCGAUGGCAUCAGGUUUCUCCAGCGGGAUUGUUGUUGAUUUUAAACCUUUCAAAUAAACCAGCAGUAUGUGUGUUUGUCCGUUCAUUCGUUCGAGUGUGUUCGUUUGUGCACCUGCUGCUGAGCCCAGUUGGCAUCAUGGCAACAAGACUGAGAGAUUGCUGUGGAAUCUUCACCAAAGAUGUCAAUUUCUUUUCCUUUUGAAGCAUUUAAACCAGCGGAGACUAUUUUUUAAAAGACAAGAAGGUUAUUGGUGCAAAGAUUGUUCAGCAUUUUACAGUUCUGCCUUGUUUGAGUUUUGUUCGUUCACUCACUAAUGUAUUUUUGUUUUUAAUGUGUGCAUUUGAGUUGGAUCAGUCAGGACUGAAUUUGGGACGCACUCUUCAUUAUUCUCAGUAUUCUGGUACACGGUGGAUGCACUGCUGUAAAUAUAUUUUGACCCUCUCCGAUGCUGUUACAGUAGACUCCUUCCAUAUGUAUUACUAAUUUUCAUUUUUCACCCAAAAAGCAACAUGCAUUUUGGUUUUAAGAUCUUUACUCUAAAUACCAGGGCAGCCGUGUCCUUGCAGAGUGCUGUAAUGUAUUUCUGACGGACCUGUAUGAGCAUAUGGGGAUUUGCAGUACUGUAAUGAUUAAUGACUGUAGACUUUGACUGCCUUUUGCUCUAAUGGAAGCGAUUACAGACUGAAAUUAAUGAGCAUAGUCGGUUCUGCAUAAAUGUGGCUCAGCAAAAAGUAGCUCUUUCUGCUGGUGACACUUUUCAAGGACGGGACACUUUUGGGAUUUUUUUCUUUAAAAAGAAAAAAGGCUUUUCUUUUGCAUCAUCCUAAUUUCAUCUUCGCCUUCUCUUCUGCUGCCGUCUUCAGUUAUGGGGGAUUUUGAUGGCGUGAGACGCCAGUUGAUGAUGUCACGAUUUUUUCCUGUUUAUGUUUGUUUAUUUUUUUCCUUUUGGGAAUCUGAGCCGUGUCUUAGCGAAGAGUCCUCCUGACUUUCGUCCUCCUGGUCCUGGUCAGCCCGUUUCUAAACGUCUUGUGAUUUGGUGACUGUACAGUGGAGUCCGGCGGUGGUCCAGCUCGGUCUCAACACGAUCUUGGUCCACCCCGUCUUUUGCCUGUCCUUCGUAAUAUCCACAUGGGUCACCUGCAUGAGCUACUUCACCGAAGCUGCACCCAGCAUGACGACAUAAGGACUUGUAUGUAGAAAAAAGGAACAAAAAAUAGAUCUAUAUAUACAUAAACAGAAAAAAAAGCGAGAAAGGAAUAAAAAAGAUCUUAGUUUA
ensembl:lncRNA